rnacentral:rRNA from 1 species
AACGAACGCUGGCGGCAUGCCUAACACAUGCAAGUCGAACGAGACCUUCGGGUCUAGUGGCGCACGGGUGCGUAACGCGUGGGAACCUGCCCUUAGGUUCGGAAUAACUCCCCGAAAGGGGUGCUAAUACCGGAUAAUGUCUUCGGACCAAAGAUUUAUCGCCUUUGGAUGGGCCCGCGUUGGAUUAGCUAGUUGGUAGGGUAAAAGCCUACCAAGGCGACGAUCCAUAGCUGGUCUGAGAGGAUGAUCAGCCACACUGGAACUGAGACACGGCCCAGACUCCUACGGGAGGCAGCAGUGGGGAAUAUUGGACAAUGGGCGAAAGCCUGAUACAGCAAUGCCGCGUGAGUGAUGAAGGCCUUAGGGUUGUAAAGCUCUUUUACCCGGGAUGAUAAUGACAGUACCGGGAGAAUAAGCCACGGCUAACUCCGUG